UACGAAGGGGGCGAGCGUUGUUCGGAUUUACUGGGCGUAAAGGGCGCGCAGGCGGCUCAUUUUGUCAGGCGUGAAAGCCCCGGGCUUAACCUGGGAACUGCGUUUGAUACGGAUGGGCUAGAGUUCGGGAGAGGAGAGUGGAAUUCCGAGUGUAGAGGUGAAAUUCGUAGAUAUUCGGAAGAACACCAGUGGCGAAGGCGGCUCACUGGCCCGUUACCGACGCUCAGGCGCGACAGCGUGGGGAGCAAACAGG
rnacentral:rRNA from 1 species